rnacentral:rRNA from 1 species
UACCAGCACCCCGAGUGGUCGGGACGAUUAUUGGGCCUAAAGCAUCCGUAGCCGGUUCUACAAGUCUUCCGUUAAAUCCACCUGCUCAACAGAUGGGCUGCGGAGGAUACUAUAGAGCUAGGAGGCGGGAGAGGCAAGCGGUACUUAGUGGGUAGGGGUAAAAUCCGUUGAUCCAUUGAAGACCACCAGUGGCGAAGGCGGCUUGCCAGAAUGCGCUCGACGGUGAGGGAUGAAGGCUGGGGGAGCAAACCGG